rnacentral:misc_RNA from 1 species
GGAAGUAAACGUCGUAACAAGGUUUCCGUAGGUGAACCUGCGGAAGGAUCAUUCAUAAGUAAGUGUCUUUUACUGGCACUUUUUUAAAAAUCUAGUACCCACCUUGUGUGCAACGUAUUGUAUGAAAUUUUUAGUCACGUGCAUGUCACAUGAUCAAAUAUCGUAUAUAAUAACACCAACUUUUUUACCUUGAAUAAAUUUGUCUGAAUAAUAUUAUGAAUAUAAUUCAAAAUAUAACUUUCAACAACGGAUCUCUUGGCUCUCGCAUCGAUGAGGAACGCAGC